AAAUUUCCGCGACUUCCGCAUCGUCACCGCGCGUGUCCUUACGUCACUUCCGUUUGGAGGCCGUCCCUGCAGCGCAUGCUUUCCUGUAGGCUUCCAGUGCGCCUGCGGCCACCUGCGGCGUGGUUUCGUGUGACGAAAUCAAGGGGCGGGGUUGUUUUUAUACAAAUUCCAUUAUUUUGGCGCUCCCAAAACGCUGGGACGGUUGGAAGAGUGCAGGUGGUGCGGAGAAGAAAGUUUAAAGAGAGACUCCAGUGGAGAAAGAGAGGCUGUGGUUCUUCAGCAGCUGAUGGAAAUUUAUGUGUACCAGAUACUGUGAUGAGGGCGUGGGAUACCAUGGUGACCUGAGUCCCUGCUCUUAUCUCUUGCAGCAGUGCUUUGCAUGUGGAAGGCGUUUAAUAAACAUUUACGAGGAGGAACUGAGGGAAGGAGAGAAAGAAGAGGAAAGACGAAGAGGGAAAAAGGGAAGAACGAAGCGGAAGGAGGAAAGGAAGGCCCAUCCGUCAGGAUCCAGCGGACGGACCGUAACUCCCAGCAGAACUACAACUCCCAGCAGGCCUCGGGGCCCAGGACAGGCCAAGGGGCUCAGGCAGGACGAGGCUCCUGCCCGCCCGGAUCCCGGCGUGCCUUGCGAGCUCAGGCGCCGC